ACACGACUACAUUAGAUACCCCCGUAGUCCAGGGUGUAAACGCUGCGGGCUUGGUGUUGGAAAUCCUUCGAGGGUAUUCAGUGCCGGAGAGAAGUUGUUAAGUCUGCUACUUGGGGAGUACGUCCGCAAGGAUGAAACUUAAAGGAAUUGGCGGGGGAGCACCGCAACGGGAGGAGCGUGCGGUUUAAUUGGAUUCAACACCGGAAAACUCACCAGGGGAGACUGUUACAUGAAACCCAGACUAAUGAUCUUGGUUGAUUUUCAG
rnacentral:rRNA from 1 species